GUCUUAGUAGUUUAAAAGAAAACACUGGUCUUGUAAGCCAGUAAUAACGUUAGUUCUAAGGCA
rnacentral:tRNA from 1 species